UAUCCUGAGAAUUCAGAUUUUGCAAAGAGGAGCAAAUAUGUCUCUUGGCGAGCUGCAGUGGAGUCAUCAACUACUGUAGAACAGCUUGCUUUGCAGGUUAGAGAGCUUGAUUCUAACAUCAGGUGGGACGAUAUUGGAAACACAAAUCUGCUGUCAAUGGUGGACAAGGAAUUUAAAAAAUCAAUCCGGCUAUUCAAGAAAGUAAUUGUCCGUAGG
rnacentral:misc_RNA from 1 species